rnacentral:rRNA from 1 species
AGUACGGCCGCAAGGUUAAAACUCAAAUGAAUUGACGGGGGCCCGCACAAGCGGUGGAGCAUGUGGUUUAAUUCGAUGCAACGCGAAGAACCUUACCUACACUUGACAUACAGAGAACUUACCAGAGAUGGUUUGGUGCCUUCGGGAACUCUGAUACAGGUGCUGCAUGGCUGUCGUCAGCUCGUGUUGUGAGAUGUUGGGUUAAGUCCCGCAACGAGCGCAACCCCUAUCCUUAGUUGCUAGCAGGUAAUGCUGAGAACUCUAAGGGGACUGCCGGUGAUAAACUGGAGGAAGGUGGGGACGACGUCAAGUCAUCAUGGCCCUUACGUGUAGGGCUACACACGUGCUACAAUGGCGCAUACAGAGUGCUGCGAACCUGCGAAGGUAAGCGAAUCACUUAAAGUGCGUCGUAGUCCGGAUUGGAGUCUGCAACUCGACUCCAUGAAGUCGGAAUCGCUAGUAAUCGCGUAUCAGUAUGACGCGGUGAAUACGUUCCCGGGCCUUGUACACACCGCCCGUCACACCAUGGGAGUGGGUUGCUCCAGAAGUAGAUAGUCUAACCCUCGGGAGGACGUUUACCACGGAGUGAUUCAUGACUGGGGUGAAGUCGUAACAAGGUAACC